UGAGAGUGUACCCCGCCUGUCGCCCGAAGAUAACAGGAAGAAACUCCAGCCUGCCCGAAACCCAAGUGAGGAUGAGCGCAGUGACCCUGCGCAGUAAAACCGCCAUUGAUACACUGCAAGUGAUCACAGAAAGUUGGAGAACACGUAGUCUUUUUCCACUGCAUGCUGUCUACUUGGUCUAUUGACUCUUUUUAAAUGUCAAACCCAGCACCCAAAAGGGCACUGCACCAAAGUGGAGAUUGUGGAAUCUCGGACUAGGAUACUGAAGGUGGCAAGCGAAUGGAGCGCUGCAGCCAAGCUGAGAUUGUGGACGACAGUGCUGGCAUUUCUAGCCAUGUAUCCUCAGAUGUACAGUACAGUGUAAACUCAAUUUAACGAGCCCAGUUUAAUGGAUCUAUGGGCUGUUUGGACAGUCAAUGUGUCCAAAAAUAGUUUCCACUUGUUACUUAAACCAGUGUUAGUUCCAGAAUUUGCCAAUGUUGCUUCGUGGCACAGUAUGGGCAGAGACUAGAACGCACAUAUUUCUGGGUCACGCAUGGUAAACAGGGUGCAGUUAUCUACCAUUUUAUCUACAUUCACAGUGCCGUGCCUAUGUUGAGGCCAUGUUGACAUUCACCAUUCAUUCAUUCAAGUUCUCCAGGCAAUGCAUUCAUAUGGCAGCCAUGAUGGCAUGAGUUAUUUCUAUUGUCGCAGAGAGCACAGCAUGGCAUGAUGGCAGUGUUUUUUUUUUUUUUUUUUUUUUUUACUCUAGAAGAUCUCUCUGGAGCCUUACUGCAGUCUGGGAGAUGUUACUUUUGGUAAAGUCACCAUCUUUUUGUCAAGCAUCAACUUGCCACUGCAAUAACUGAUCGUCAUCACCAGGCACACGGGCAUUCCAACUUUGGAUGAUAUUUAAAACUUUUCAAAUAUAUUCAAGCUCUUUUAAUAUGUUUAAUUACAACAACUUUCUUCAGUACUGAACAUUUUAGCCCAUUAAAAAAAGUACAAAAGAUUUAUGCACUGUACAGUAAUAUGACUGCAUUUUAUAUGAACCACAAAAGAGUGCUUCAAUAUAACCAAAAAUCGACUGUAACAGACCACCUCCCUGCGCUAUUACUCUGUUAAAUAAAGGUUACACAGUAUUGUCGAACAAUAUAAUAUACAAUGGCACUACAAAAAUUUAUACAACAGGAAACUGAGGGUAGCCAGAAAAUCGGUCACUACAUCAAACCCAAGACACUGGGGUACAAUGCAGUAGCAUCCACACUUCCACUGUAAUUUUUCUUCGAUCAUACACGCAGUAAAAUGUAAUAUCCAUCAAUCCAUUUUCUUUUACGCUUAUGCUCACGAAGAUCGCGAGGAGUGCUGGAACCUAACCCAGCUGUCAACGGGCAGCAGGCGGGGUACACCCUGAACUGGUUGCCAGUCAAUCGCAGGGCACAUCGAGACAAACAACCAAUCGCACUCACAAUCACACCUAGAGGCAAUUUAGAGUGUCCAAUUAAUGUUACAUGUUUUUGAGAUGUAGGAGGAAACCGGAGUGCCUGGAGAAAACCCACGCAGGCAUGGGGAGAACAUGCAAACUUCACACAGGCGGGGCCAGUAUUGAACCCGGGACCUCAGAAGUGUGAGGCCAACGUUUUACCAGCUGAUCCACCGUGCCGCCUAUAUUAUCUGUGCUGUACCUUAUCCCAGCUGACUUCAAGUGAUUUUGGGGUACGCCACUGACUGGUCGCCAGCCAAUCGCAGACCAGGUAACGUUGCCAGUGUAUUGCUGCAGCUCUUGUAUCUGGUUUUAUUACAUUGUCCAGGUAUACUUAAUUUGACCAAUGAGUGUAUGCAGUGGGCCACAGCGAGCAACAUAUAAUUCAUUGUCACUAGUAAGUAUUUGUGUCUUGAGCAUAUGCUUCAUUCAAGCAGCCACAAUGAAAAGUAGUAUUUCUGCAACAAAUGCAUGACAUGCACGUUGAAAUAUUUGAUCACACUGUACGUGGUGCCUCGACCUCACAGCUCUUCUCCUGCUGAGUUUUAAGUGAAACCACGCUGCCCUGGUUGUGGCCCCCCGUAUUCCCACACAUCUGGAUGGCUUCAUCCACCCACCAACCCUCCCAGCCUCAUCCUCCUACACGCUCCUCAUCAUCAUCACCCACCAUUGUAAAUCUCCUCUAACUGUACUGGUAAUUACGCCACACAUGCUUACGCAACAAAGCGGUAGCCAAGCCCAAUGACAAACAGAGCGUUGCUAUAAAUUAAGACAUUUAUUGCUCUAAUUGCAGUCUCAUAAUGUCGGUCUCUAAUGGUGCAAAGAGGAAAAAAAUGGCCACAGUGCACUUUUCCUUUGUGGCAAACCUCGGUUAGGUUAGUCACCAGAUGAAGUGAUGGCUUCAAAGACAGAUCAAGCCGUAUUGUUAUAAUUAGCCAAAGCUCCACGUGCAGAAAACCAAAAUCGGUCAUCAGCCAAGAGGAAAGAAUGAUCAUAGGCUGAGUGGUGGUGCUGUAAAUCCUUAUCAAGUGUCAAGCACUUGCUCAAUUAUAUUCAAUUACAGCAUCCCGCAUAAAUCCUCUGCGUCACUCCCUUCCGAUACGAUGACGUACGCGUGGUGACAAUUUCCAGUGCUGAGCAUGCUUUUUCUUUUUUUCUUUCUUAGUCUAAUUUGUGACUCCAAUGUGUCGCAGCUUGUGGCGCAUCACGCAUAAGGCAUGCUUUAGGUCAUGACGCCAAAGCAAGUAGGCACUUGUCACGGGUUACACUGAUUUAAGAUCAAGAUUUUCGGACAGAUGUGGCUCUAAGCAAUGUUGACAUGUUUGUUUGGACGAUAGUUGGGCCAAGCUAAAAAAAAAUCAAUUUGAGGAGUUCCACAACAGAAAUAAAAGCCAAUCUCGUAGCUUCCAUUAAUUUAGUUUCUGUACCGCUCAUCCACACAGGAAGCCUAUCCCAGCUGAUUCUGGGCUAGGGCUAGAAUUCACACAUGAGCCAGUCGUCUCCCAACUGUGACGGUCACCUCGAAACGAUCGCUUGCGACAUCUUCGACAACAUUUACAAGCAAUCCCGUUUGUAAGAUGACUGCCGAUUUCACCUUGAAGCUACAUUCUGCUCGGAGUGCUCACAAUUAUAUAGGGAUGUUUGCUUUGGCCGCUAACAGCCAAUUAAAUAGAAUGUCAUGUUGUUAAAAUUUUGAGGACACAUCUAACGUUAACCUUUGGGCAAAAUGAAGGACCCUGGAUGCUAAUUAUUUCUAUCCACAAACUAACAACUGGUCUACAGUGUCAGCUGUUUUGGAAGCAAGUACACAAGUUAAAUGCCGUUCUAGUUAAACUUUGCAGGCUCAAAACAUUUUUCUGUAUUGCUUUGGACAGUGACUAUCUUCAAACUCUGCUAUGAUUUAAACCAUUUACUAUUUCACAACCUGUGUUGCAAAACUGAUUAAUAUACAAAAAUACUACAUUUUUAAAGCACAUUUAAUAUUUUUGUCCCCCCCCCCCAAGUGGUCCAAAACUACGGCUCUUAUUGUGUAAGUGUUGCCCUUUUUUUUUUUUCUUUUUUAUAUCUAAUGUAGAGUUUAGAGUCUUCAAUUAAUCAACCAUGCAUGUUUUUCGGAUAUGGGAGGAGACCAGAGUACCCGGAGAAAACCUGCACAGGCACGGGGAGAACAUGCAAACUUCACACAGAACAGAUGUCAGAUUUGAACACGGGUCCUCAAAACUGUGAGGCAGCUAUGCUAAUCUGUCUGUAUUACUGUGCCACCAUCCUAAUGGUUUUCAUGAUGGCAACGGUUUGACCAAAAGGGGAUUUUUUUUUUCUAAAAGUUCAACCCUUUAAGGUUCCACUCAUAUGAUAUGUAAUAUCCUAAAAAUAAUAAGUCAUGAGAAACUGACAAAUUAAGUCACUUAAUUCUCCAUUUGUGCAUUUUCUAAACCGCUUAUCCUCACCAGGGUAGUGUUUGAGCGAGAGGCGGUGUACACGGUGGACCAGUGGCAAGCCAAUCAUAGCAUACAUGGAGAUAAGCAUCGUUUUGUUUUGUUUUUUUUUUUAUUUUGGAGGAGGUUGGAGUGCUGUGGAAAAACCACGCAAGUAUGAGGAGAUCAUUCAAACUCCACACAGGAAGGCCGCAGCCCAGAUUCGAACCCAUAACCUCAGAAAUGUGAGGCAGCUGUGCUAACCAACGCUCUGCACUGUGCCACCAUCAUUUAAUUACAUUUUAUUGAUUUUGAUUUGGCCUUAUCUGCCUGCCUCCUGGCCUUUUUCUUCUUUCAUGGAGGCUGCUCGUGGCGUUGAAUGUGUAUAAUCAAAUGUUCCAGGGCCUUGACUUUAGGAGCCAAUUGACAGCAUGACAAGUGUUCCUUGGAGCAGCACAUCUGUCGAGGAUGUCAAUAGAUGUCUUUGAAAUGUACACUGCAGAAGGAGAAGAAAGGCCUUUAAAACGCUGACUGAAGAAAAGAUGGACCGGCGGGUUAUUGAAAACGACAGUCCGUAUGUAAAUCCGCUUCCCCGUGGGCUUCCACCCUUCGGCGAGGUAUCUCUAUACGGAACCACUUUAUUGCAGACCUUAUUGCAGACUCUUUAAUGUCCUCGCAACAGCUGGAGUGGAGAUAAAGAACGAGGAAGCGGUACAGUGCCAGCUGUUGGAAUUAUUAAUACAAAAAUUAACUACUGUGUGUGCGGGUUAAUUGCUUUCUGCUUAAUGUGCUUUCAAAAAGCCUUGAUUCCUCUUUUCUGUUACACAAAUGGCAUAUCAGGAGGCCUGUGAAAUUAAAGAUUCCAUUUAGAGAGAGCGCUCCAAAAGCAUUCCCCUCCGCCACCCUCCACCCUCGUUCUUCUCACGGCUCGGCGGCCAUAAUGGAGUCAUGUGUUGAAUCGCCGGAAUGGUCGCAUUAGGCAGCUGCCACCCCGCGGAUCAUCGAAGAAGUCUUUUUUAGCAGACAGAAGCGCCGUUCAUCCCUCAAGAGCUCAGGCAAAAUCAUUUCUGUGAGAUGUAUGCAUAUCAGGCCGCCAACGUCACACAUCCACGUUUAGCAGUUGAGUGACGACCACCCAUUUUGAUUAAGGCACCUCCCAUUCAGGGCCCGAUUAUGCUUUGGGUCACUUUGUUCAUUUACAAAUAGCAACUAGGGCUGAGGAAUUUUUUGUUGCACCCCAAAUUUAGCAACCCCCAAAACCAUCAUAAGAAGACCCACAAAAACUGAGAGGAUACGGGAAGUUAAAACGACCAUCUUAGGACCAUUAUGCCCAUUUCCAAAACAAGGCUUCUUGCAGAGAUUUUUGUAUGAUUGCCUCCACACUCGAACUACUGUAAUUACACUACAAAAGAUGGUCGAGGCUGAAUUCCAAAUAAUUUUUGUUUUGGGUUAUGUGUGUGGGCAAAGUUUGGUACUGAGCUUUGAUGGCUGACCAAAAGGUGACAGGAUGUGAGCCAAUUUGGUUUGAAGUAGCCAUUUUAGAGUCACCUUAGCUGUUUUAAAAAAUAAACUGAUCUUGGAGAUUUCUACCCAAAACACUAAGGACUUCCUUAGUCCCGCAAACCAAGCUGGGAGGAAGUAAAAAGCAUUUAAAGUGCAUGUUUUGUGAAUUAUUUCACGAUCAGUCAUUAUUUCAUUUGUUUUAUUAUUUGCUAGUUAUGCCACUCUGUUUGCUGUGGUGUGAUAAUUUUAGUUUCGAUGUGACACCGUGAGACAACACAACAUCGUCAGUAGUGACCUGCCGACAUGAGUAGUUCAUGGGGCAAUGUAAGCUUCUUCUUCUUACAGAUGUAAAACGCAUCCAUCAUUCCAUCAUAAUCCUCUCUGCCAUGUGAGCGCCAUCUUCCGGUAUCUUACAUACAUGCUAAAACAUGUGUUAGCAUAUAAGCUAACAGUGUAACCUGUGCGUUUAAGUGUGCACAAUGUCUUGGAGACCCAAAUCCGCAAAUAUGCGGGGCUACGAAGGGUGAACCGUGAAUCGGCAAGGGCACAAUGUAUACUAGACAGACUUUUAGUUUUUGUCAACAUGUUUGGGCAGAGCCUAGUAGUGAAGUUUGACGACUCAUGUGGAAGCCUAAUUCUAAGUUCCACAUAGCAACAUUAACUUUGUUAGGUAUGUCCGUCAAGAGUAAAACCACCAAAACGUCUCUUCAAAGUCAUCCUUGAAAAUUAAAUCUAUACACGUAUAUUUAGGGGGUUUUGAUAUUCUAGUGUUUUGCUACGAUCCACAUAUGCUGCAGUGAAACUGGACUAAUACAGGCUUUUCGAUUCUAUUCUACAAUACACUUGGAGUCAAUCACAUGGAAAGAGUUAAGGAAAGAACAGAGUAACAGCUCCUCUCGGACAUGCACAGGUCACGUCUCCACCACAUUUUAAUUUCACGUUGUAAAAAACACAUUAAUCAGAACCAGAUGACGUGGGAGGAAUUCUAAGAUGAUAUGUUUUUAUGCGAUAAUUUUAGGGCUAUUUAAGCAGGUCAAGUGUGAAAGCGCAGAGCUGGCUAGAUAAAGUCCCCAGUCAUCCUCUAGGUGGCUUCGUUGCACUGCAAUCGAGCGAUGUAUCAAUGACACAGGCUCCUCUUAGUUCACUAUCGGGCCACAUCUCCGACAACCUCCCAGAAAGCCAGCCUGGAUAAGAGCAUUGUUUGACACAUGAAAGUUCGGCGGGAGGGCUGCCACUCCGCUCAGCCGGGGCCAAAAAGACGAAGCACAAAGGACAAUUUGAUUCGCUUUCGGCACGUUUUGCCUUCAAACGUCAGAAAUAUCCCCCAUCAGUUGUCAAGGUGUGUCCUGCAGGAUUUGGGAAUUAGAUGAGAGCAAAGGCAAAUCAUUGAGGUAUUACAUAUUUGCUGACUCUUCAUCCUUUUCAUGUUCUUGCAUGGCAGUAAAACAUUGAAUUAGUUUUCUGUUACACUGACCACAGUUUCAAAGAACACCACAUUCUAAUACGAGCAGUGAAACUGAUAAGACAAAUAAUAUUACAGCCAGUCUGUCAGUCUCAUAAACUAUCUCCAGAACCUCCAUUAGAACUUGGAUGAACGAUUCCAGAUCGUGGUGGAUUCUGCCUUCCUAGCCUAGAGCAACUAAUAUCAUCCAUUCAUCCAUUUUCUGAGCUGCUUAUCCUCACGAGGUUUGCAGGAGCGCUGGACCGUAUCCCAGCUGUCUUUGGGAAGGAGGCGGGGUACACCCUGAACUGGUUGCCAGCUAAUCGCAGGGCACAUGAAGACAGACAACUGUUGCAAGCAGGGCAAAUUAGAUUGUCCAAUGAAUGCAUGUUUUUGGGAUGCGGGAGGAAACUGGAGUGCCCGGAGAAAACCGACGCAGGGACGGGGAGAACAUGCAAACUCCACACAGGCGGGGCCAGGAUUUACUACAUACUGCCUAUUUUGAGAGUUUUAUUCCAGUUAAGAAUGCUUGAAUGGUUACCAUACAUCAUUCAUUUUUAGGGUGAUGACACAAUUUCUUGUAAAAGUGAAUCCCCAUUAACCUCAGGGGUUCCAGACCUACUUAGAUUCUGUGAAAACCUGCGAUAUAGCGACCAUUAAAAAAUCUUAUUGAUGGUUUUACCUCGUUCCAACAAAUUUAAACUUAUUUAACCACAAGCAUUCACUAGCACCUGUACUGACUUUGGUUUUGGUUUUGGUUUUUUUUUUAACUCCCAGUUGAAGUCUACUUUUUCACACACAGGCAUCUUUUUUCCCGUAAUAAAUGAAAUCAUUUAAAAACACAUUUGUUUGAUUGUCCUAAACAUUAAAGUGGAGAAACUAUGCAAAAAUAUCCAAAUUUGAGAAGGUCACUAAUACUUUUCCACGGCGCUGUACGAAAGAUUGACCUUUUCAUACCAAGCGGUUAUUUUUUUACACUUUCAUGACAGCUAAGAAUAUUAUUUGAAAAAUCUACUGCACACUUAGUAAGUUUCAUUACAGUGAGAGUUCAACCAGAAUAGAGCCUCCAUUUCCUGAUUGAAAAAAUGGUUUCAAAAUGCAAACAAAUCAGUGAUUCAGCGUGAAAUGUUUCAAAUGAUGUGGUAACAAACAUGUGGAAUCCUAACCUUAUCGUACAGGCCACGAGUUCCAUAUGGAUCCCAUCCCCCAGGCCCUCCGCCUAUGCUUUGAUAUUGCAUGUGUCAUGAACAUGGAGUGUGUAUCGGUGCUCCGCCGGCGCCACCUGAAACUGUCAUUAAAGCGCAUGUCCUCAGGUGGAAAACGUGUGAGUAUGUGUGGCUUCCUCGACGAUAACACGACUUUGCUCUAAAAUACUUU